UACGUAGGGGGCAAGCGGUUGUCCGGAAUUACUGGGCGUAAAGAGCUCGUAGGUGGUUUGUCGCGUGUUCGUGAAAACUCACAGCUUAACUGUGGGCGUGCGGGCGAUACGGGCAGACUUGAGUACUGCAGGGGAGACUGGAAUUCCGGGUGUAGCGGUGGAAUGCGUAGAGAUCCGGAAGAACACCGGUGGCGAAGGCGGCCUGCUGGGACAGUGCUGACGCUGAGGCGCGACAGCGUGGGGAGCAAACAGG
rnacentral:rRNA from 1 species